rnacentral:rRNA from 1 species
GUAGGUGGCAAGCGUUGUCCGGAAUUAUUGGGCGUAAAGCGCGCGCAGGCGGUCCUUUAAGUCUGAUGUGAAAGCCCACGGCUCAACCGUGGAGGGUCAUUGGAAACGUGGGGGACUUGAGUACAGAAGAGGAAAGCGGAAUUCCAAGUGUAGCGGUGAAAUGCGUAGAGAUUUGGAGGAACACCAGUGGCGAAGGCGGCUUUCUGGUCUGUAACUGACGCUGAGGCGCGAAAGCGUGGGGAGCAAACAGGAUUAGAUACCCUGGUAGUCCACGCCGUAAACGAUGAGUGCUAAGUGUUAGGGGGUUUCCCGCCCCCCUUAGUGCUGCAGCUAACGCAUUAAGCACUCCGCCUGGGGAGUACGGCCGCAAGGCUG